rnacentral:rRNA from 1 species
UGGGGAAUAUUGGACAAUGGGCGCAAGCCUGAUCCAGCCAUGCCGCGUGUGUGAAGAAGGCCUUUUGGUUGUAAAGCACUUUAAGCGAGGAGGAGGCUACUUGGAUUAAUACUCUAGGAUAGUGGACGUUACUCGCAGAAUAAGCACCGGCUAACUCUGUGCCAGCAGCCGCGGUAAUACAGAGGGUGCGAGCGUUAAUCGGAUUUACUGGGCGUAAAGCGUGCGUAGGCGGCUUCUUAAGUCGGAUGUGAAAUCCCUGAGCUUAACUUAGGAAUUGCAUUCGAUACUGGGAAGCUAGAGUAUGGGAGAGGAUGGUAGAAUUUCAGGUGUAGCGGUGAAAUGCGUAGAGAUCUGGAGGAAUACCGAUGGCGAAGGCAGCCAUCUGGCCUAAUACUGACGCUGAGGUACGAAAGCAUGGGGAGCAAACAGG